AUGGCUAAAUGCACCAAGAAGGUAGGAGUCGUCAGUAAAUAUGGGACCCAAUAUGGUGCCUUUCUCAGGAAAAUGAAGAAAAUUGGAAUCAGCCUGCAAGUAACAUUUUGCUCCUUCUGUGGCAAAACCAAAAUGAAGGGGUGAUGUGGCACUGUGGCUCCAGCAUGAAAAUGGUAGCAGUGGUGCCUGGACUUACAACCCCAAAGUAAAGUCAGCUAUCAGAAGACUGAAGGAAUUGGAAGACUAG
rnacentral:lncRNA from 1 species